rnacentral:lncRNA from 1 species
AAGAUGUGCCUGCUCUGGUUUGAAGGUUCAUGUCCCUGAAAUGCCCACAUUGGGAUAACAUAGGUGAUGACAUUAGGAGAUGAAGCCUUCGGAGGGGUAGGUCAUGGGCCAGCCCUCACCCAUGGGCUUACUGACUCAUGAACGACCCCUCACCCACAGGAGGACAUGGCAUAAAGGUGCUGUCUCUAUGGAAGCAGACCCUCCGCAGACCCGGGGACUCGUCAACCUUGAAAUCUGUGAGAAACAAAUGUCUGCCGUUAGAAGCUACCAAUCUCAAUCUAUGCACUCACCGUUGUAUGU